rnacentral:rRNA from 1 species
GAUGAACGCUGGCGGCGUGCUUAACACAUGCAAGUCGAGCGAGAAGUUUUGAACAGAUUCUUCGGAUGAAAUUUAAAAUGGAAAGCGGCGGACGGGUGAGUAACGCGUAGGCAACCUGCCCCAUACAAAGGGAUAGCAUUUGGAAACGAAUAUUAAUACCUUAUGAAACUUAACUAGUGCAUGCUAGGUAGGUCAAAGAUUUAUCGGUAUGGGAUGGGCCUGCGUCUGAUUAGCUAGUUGGUGAGGUAACGGCUCACCAAGGCGACGAUCAGUAGCCGACCUGAGAGGGUGAACGGCCACAUUGGAACUGAGACACGGUCCAAACUCCUACGGGAGGCAGCAGUGGGGAAUAUUGCACAAUGGGGGAAACCCUGAUGCAGCAACGCCGCGUGAACGAUGAAGGCCUUUGGGUCGUAAAGUUCUGUUCUAGGUGAUGAAAACUGACAGUAACCUAGGAGAAAGCCCCGGCUAACUCCGUG